UACGUAGGUGGCAAGCGUUUGUCCGGAUUUAUUGGGUUUAAAGGGUGCGUAGGCGGUUGAUUAAGUCAGUUGUGAAAUACGGCAGCUUAACUGUCGAGGUGCAAUUGAUACUGGUUGACUUGAGUACAGACGAGGUAGGCGGAAUUGACGGUGUAGCGGUGAAAUGCAUAGAUAUCGUCAAGAACACCGAUAGCGAAGGCAGCUUACUAGACUGUAACUGACGCUGAGGCACGAAAAGUGUGGGGAGCGAACAGG
rnacentral:rRNA from 1 species